rnacentral:rRNA from 1 species
UACGUAGGGUGCGAGCGUUAAUCGGAAUUACUGGGCGUAAAGAGUGCGUAGGCGGUUCUUGAAGUCCGCUGUGAAAGCCCCGGGCUUAACCUGGGAAUGGCAUUUGGGACUGCAAGGCUGGAGUGUGGCAGAGGAGACUGGAAUUCCUGGUGUAGCAGUGAAAUGCGUAGAUAUCAGGAGGAAUACCGAUGGCGAAGGCAGGUCUCUGGGCUGACACUGACGCUCAUGCACGAAAGCGUGGGGAGCAAACAGG